rnacentral:sRNA from 1 species
AUGUGCCGCUCGUACGCGCCGGUUCAUGCGCGCCGGCCAGCCCACACCUGACACUGCCUGCUACGGUUUGCCGGCC